rnacentral:rRNA from 1 species
AUUGAACGCUGGCGGCAGGCUUAACACAUGCAAGUCGAGCGAGCGGCGGACGGGUGAGUAAUGUCUGGGAAACUGCCUGAUGGAGGGGGAUAACUACUGGAAACGGUAGCUAAUACCGCAUACCAGCGGAUGUGCCCAGAUGGUAUUAGCUAGUAGGUGGGGUAAAGGCUCACCUAGGCGACGAGCCCUAGCUGGUCUGAGAGGAUGACCGGCCCAACUGGAACUGAGACACGGUCCAUGCUCUUACGGGGGGCAGCAGUGGGGAAUAUUGCACAAUGGGGGCAAGCCUGAUGCAGCCAUGCGGCGUGUAUGAAGAAGGCCUUCGGGUUGUAAAGUACUUUCAGCGGGGAGGCGUUACCCGCAGAAGAAGCACCGGCUAACUCCGUGCCAGCAGCCGCGGUAAUUC